CGCUCCGAAAAGCCCUGAGGCGCGAGCAGCUGGCCGCGGCGCUGGCCGGUGCUGAAGCUCAGGCUGUGGCCGAUGCUACUACCGCCGCUGCCGCCACCGCUACGGGCGCCACUGUUGUUGUGAAGCCCCGACGCCGCCGCUCACUCCGCCAUGUUGCCGCCCCCUGCCUGCGGUACCGGCCACUGCGCCUGCGCAGAGCCUCCGGGGGGCGGAACCCUCGUGCGCCCCCUCUUUUGCCCUGCCCUCCUUCUCCUUCCACCCACCCAGCCCGACACCCCUCGUCCCUCCCCCAACCACCCUGAACGGAUAGACAGGAGGAGGCUCAUCAUCUUCGUCGUCGCAUCCAGCAGCUGCUACUGCCAGUGCCAGGUGCCUUGUAAGCAGACUUCUGACUCCAGCUGCUUCUGGACUACAGUUCUGGGAAUCCUGACUCAUCACACUGGUGCUGGUGCUAAUAAUGGUCAUUCUCCUUCCUGGCUGGAAGUUCCCUGGAGGGGGAUUUGUGGCAGCAGAAUUCUCACAUUCUCGAGGUGCUCAGGGCCCACUGCUCUCGCCAUUUAUGGAACUGCCUUGGCUGCUCAAGGGACCAGAUGUUCCCUGGGGUUGCAACCCACUGCUCCUGCAUUUAGCCUCCUGGCUGGCUGGUUGCUUGCUUGGAUUCAGCCCAGUACAGAUGGCAUCACCGCUAAAUCAGAGAAGGAUGACACAUGGUUUCCUGAUCCUCCUUCAAGAUACUCCUAGGCCCCUAACUCCCAAUGGAAGGUGUGAUAUUGAGGAGAAAAGAAAUAACACCAAUGUGAGUUAAGAGGUCAAGGUGUUCCUGGACUUGGAACACAGGGGUGUGGUCCCCUGCAAAAUAUUGCUGUUCUCAAGCUGCCUGCAUAUGAGAUUACAUAUUACGACGGGGAUGUUUUUGCUUAUCAUCUUUUAAAGCAUCAAGCAUUGAAGAUGCUUACUCCAUCAGAACAAGUGAGCCAUUGAGUGUCUUACCCCUGUGGCUCACUAUGGGAUCCAGCCUGGAUACUUUAUUACCUUCUAAGCAGAUAUAUUGAAGUGAGAUGUGUAUCACCCUAGGUUUCUCCCUGUUGUACAUGUCCAUGUUCACUCUCUGUGCUGGAACUGUCUUCCUAAAGAUCAUACGGGGACAGUUUUUCUCUCUAACGCUUGCAGAUUUGCGGGAUUUCUAAUCUACAUGGAUUUUUGACACAUAUUUAGCUUAAAGGCAGGUAAAACAAAUUUUAAAAAAAACAACAAAAAAAAAACACCUUGCACCACCAGAGAAGAAAGGAAAAGGAAUUAAAAUAUAAGCAGAUGAUUUGCAGCGUAGGAAGAAGAGUGGAAUUUCUUUUGUUGCUGAUGGACUAUGCAAUGCAGUAUUUCUAUGAAUGUCCUUUUCUAUGGAUCAAAGCAAUUGCUCAUUUGUACUGAGGAAAGGUGCUUCAGAUUAAUUUUGGAAACUUCAAUACCUCACUAUGCUAAAUUUUAAUUAUUUCACUUCCUGCUUGGUAUAUUAAUGUGGUGAUUACCCUUGAAAGUGUAUUAUGGAUGAUGAUUUAUGCAAAACCCAGCCAGCUCCACAGCUCUGUCGGUUUCAAUUAAAACCAGCCACAGAGGAAGUGGGCUGUCACCGUGUGGGCUGUGGACUUUCAUUACUCUCACGAGCAGGUACAGUCCGUUUACUUAAAGCAUUACCUUUGUUUAGCCUUCUGGAACCAUCUCUUCCAUGGCACGACUAACCACUGAGAAAGGAAAUUGUAGCGAUUUGGUCUGCUGACCUUGGAUCCAAACUAAAACUAUCCAGGAAAAUGUAUUUUAUCUCUGCUUCUCUGCUGAUAUAGGACAUUUUGGGCCAAUUCUUCCCUCUUUUGAACUGUUCAAGGGCUGAAAUGGCCAAAAGUGCUAUUGAGAAGUUAUUGUUUUCUGAUUUCCAGGAACAGGGCUUGGUCAGUCUCCGGGGAGUGCGGUCAUCUGGAGUUAAUCAUGCAGUAUGUGCUCCUUCUCAAAUGAAGCACUGUUUUCAGAGCUCAUUUAUCUCAAUGACUUUGACUAUUGAGAGGUCAGGAAGUUUUCCAUGGUGCGUCCCCAGUACCCAGUCCUUCUAAUUACUAAUUUGGCUGCACAGUUAUUGAAAUCUCCUGUCUACCUGGCAGCCCUUCCUAAAUCUAUUCCAAACAAUGUCACUGAGGUUACCUGCCAGGUCCGGAAGGCGCUCUUCCUUCUGAGUACCUGAGAGACAGGCAGCCAAGCCUGAUUUCCAUGGCAGUUUCAUUUUAAUCACAUUUGGAAAUUCUUGACUACAGGCUGUGCAUUUAUGAAGUCAAGGGAGCCUGUACCUGCCAAGUGAGAGCUCUACCGACAGCCUGCCAGGAGCAGAACCUGAUCCCCAGCAAACAAAGAAAGUGCAUCCACCUUCUGAAACCCGGGGCCAGAUGGCCUCGUAGAAUCAUGGUGCUGGGAGGCCUAGGGCUCUUCCGGGGCUCAUGCGUGGUCUCAAAUUGACCCUUCUUUCUAGCUUCAUCUCUUCCCCUCUCCCUUCUUGCACUCUGUGCUCAGGUCAUGAACUCGAAAGUACCAAGAACCUUCCCAAAUCCAUACUUUUGCCCUGACUGCUCUUUCCACCUAAGAAACUUUGCUUGUGUAUUUUGAAUGGGCAGUUUCUGUGUGUAUGUGUGUGUAUUUUUUUUUUUAAUCCUCUAAGUCUGUGCCCAAAUAUUUCUUCCUCUGAGGCCUUUGACUACUAUACUAUUCUCCAUCCUAUUUUGUUUAUUUCCGUUAUGGCACCUACUGUGAUGUGAAAGUUUACUUCUAUCUUGUCUAACCCUCCUGCUGCAGUGUGAUAAGCUCCAUGAGGGCUUUUUACCACGGUCUCCCUGGCACACAUCACAGAGUUGGGAUGAAGUGUCACAAUUUCAGUGCCCUGUAAUCAGGAAGGUGAUGUUUCAAUCUAGCUACAAUUCCCAUUCCCUCUUAUUCAACAGGCACUUAUUUAUUUAUGACUAUAUGAACCACUCACUAAAGGGUGUUUUUCAAGGCAGGUUCUUAUGGAUGCUAUUUAUGGAAGGUAAAGUCUUGCCGUGCUCAGUGGAGACUUUGAGUUGAGAUCCACUGUUCCCUUUUUAGGGGCUGGCGUUUGUACUCAGGAGGAGAAAUGCCAUUAAUUAGUGGGAUAAUGAUUACAGCCUCCGUCUGGCAUUGCUUCCCUGGACGUGCUGUCUUGGCAUAUUCUAGUGACUGCCAUCAUCUGCCCAGGGGCAACUAGGCUAGAGAAAGAAGCCUCAGCAAGGAGAGUUGACAAAUUAGCUUAAUCUCACUCACUCUCCAAAUGCUAGCUGAUACCAUCCUUAUAUUUGUCUCUCCUAACUGCCUCUUUUGUGGAAAUUGAAUUGCAAUAGGGUCUAUUUUUGUCCUCUUCUUCAUCUAUAAAUAUUACACAAUUUCCUUCUGAGUUUACAGCCUAAUCCUAAAUACACACACUUUUUGUGACUUUUUGUGCCCUUAACCUUGACUUCUAAUCUCUCUCCUCACCCCGUCCUUCACUGUGGCGCUGUCAGACCCCUGCUAAAUUCUCUGUCCUGUACAUGAAGCAGAAGCUGUGUUGCAGGUAUCUCUAGGGCUUCGUCCUCUGCCUCAGACUGGCCAGUAACCCCCUUCCUGUGGAGUAUUUGCAGUGUCACCUAUGCCAAGGGACAAUGCUUGGGGACUACAAGGGCCUGAAGGACCCUGGUUUUGUCAUCAUACAGAUGCUCCAGUCCCGGUGCUCCCGUUUCUUCUAGCUUUGUGAUAUGAUGCAAGUCACAACUGUUCCGAGCUUUGAUUUCCAGUAAAAUUGACAUAAUAAAACCUCAUGGUUAUUAUUGUGAGAAUUAAAUGGAUAAUGUACAAUGGACUGGGCAUAAUUCUGGCACACAGAACGUACAUAGACAAUAAAUCCAGCUAUUUCUUCAGAACAGUACUGGGAGGUUCUUCACACUCAGAUAACCAAAACCUAAAAGCACAUCAUUAGUAAUUUUCUCCUUUGGAAAAAUCUGUUCCAUUUGCGGUCCUUGACAAAAAUGAAUAAAAUCUGAGGGCACUGUAUCCAUCAGGGUUCUGAUAGGACAUAGAUGGCAUAUACUCAAAAAAUUUUAACUAAAGAGAUUUUAAUAAAAGGUAUGAGCAGAAUUGAAGGAACUCAUAAAAGAUGGGGAAGCACCCAAGGCCCAACAACAGCAAGGAGCUAAUAUCGCCUUUAAAAACUAAGACAGUGGAGGAUAGCUUCAAGAUGGCAGAGGAGUAAGACGUGGAGAUCACCUUCCUCCCUACAGAUACAUCAAAAAUACAUCUGCAUGUGGAAUAGCUCCUACAGAACACCUACUGAACGCUGGCAGAAGACCUCAGACUUCCCAAAAGACAAGAAACUCCCCAUGUAACUGGCUGGGUGGAUGAUAAGAGUCUUGGUGCUCCAGCCAGGUGUCAGGCCUGAGCCUCUGAGGUGGGAGAGCCGAGUUCAGGACAUUCAUCUACCAGAGACUUCCCAGCCCCAUGUAAUAUCAAACUGAGAAAGCUCUCUCAGAGAUCUCCAUCUCAACGCUAAGACCUAACUCCACUCAAUGACCAGCAAGCUACAGUGCUGGACACCCUAUGCCAAACAACUAGGAAGACAGGAACACAACCCCACCCAUGAGACGAAGACGCAAGAGGGAGGAGUUAUGGGGGAUAUAUGUAUAUGUAUAGCUGAUUCACUUUGUUAUACAGCAGAAACGAACACACCAUUGUAAAGCAAUUAUACUCCAAUA